UACGAAGGGUGCAAGCGUUACUCGGAAUUACUGGGCGUAAAGCGUGCGUAGGUGGUGGUUUAAGUCUGCUGUGAAAGCCCUGGGCUCAACCUGGGAAUUGCAGUGGAUACUGGAUCACUAGAGUGUGGUAGAGGGAUGCGGAAUUUCUGGUGUAGCAGUGAAAUGCGUAGAGAUCAGAAGGAACAUCCGUGGCGAAGGCGGCAUCCUGGGCCAACACUGACACUGAGGCACGAAAGCGUGGGGAGCUAACAGG
rnacentral:rRNA from 1 species